CCUACGGGAGGCAGCAGUGGGGAAUAUUGCACAAUGGGGGAAACCCUGAUGCAGCGACGCCGCGUGAGUGAAGAAGUAUUUCGGUAUGUAAAGUUCUAUCAGCAGGGAAGAAACAGCGACCGUUGGGUCGGCAGAAGGCACCUGAUAAAGACGCGCCGGCUAACUACGUGCCAGCAGCCGCGGGAACAUGUAGGGGGCAAGCGUUAUCCGGAUUUACUGGGUGCAAAGGGAGCGUAGACGGCGGCGCAAGUCUGAAGUGAAAUGCGGGGGCUUAACCCCUGAACUGCUUUGGAAACUGUGCAGCUAGAGUACAGGAGAGGUAGAUGGAAUUCCUAGUGUAGCGGUGAAAUGCGUAGAUAUUAGGAGGAACACCAGUGGCGAAGGCGGCUUACUGGACUGUAACUGACGUUGAGGCGCGAAAGCGUGGGGAGCAAACAGGAUUAGAUACCCGUGUAGUC
rnacentral:rRNA from 1 species